rnacentral:rRNA from 1 species
AUGCUACGGCCAGCGGCUGCCGCCGUUUAUCCGUCAUCCUACCACGCCCCACCGCCGCGAUUCCCAGCAUUUCCGUCCGGACGACGCUCGGCCGCCAUAGCCGUCCGGUGCGUGAACCGCGACGCGCCCGAUACCUCGAAGGCGAAGCUGAAGGUCGGCUCGCCGAUCGUCAUCACCGAGGAACCGCCCAUGCUCAAGACCGCCGCGUCGGUGCCGUCGCUCCGGCAGAACGCCGGCCGCGUCAAGCCCGGCGACGUCGGGAGGAUAAUGGCGCGGAAGCCGAAGGACGUCUGGGCCGUGCGGCUCGCCGUCGGCACGUACCUGCUGGACGGGAAGCACUUCAAGCCCCUGGAGGUCGUCGAGGACGAAGGCGGCGACGAUCAACCCCAGGAUGAAUGA